rnacentral:rRNA from 1 species
GUUUUGAAUGUUUAUU